GGUCGAGAGUCUUAGCUCUACCUUAAUUUUUUUAUUGCACCAAACAAAACACUAGAUUUAAGAGCUAUUCAAAUAAGGCACAGCUUAUUUGAAAUGGGAUACAACCCCUAAUACUGGGUUAAUCUAGAUAUAUUAAAUAAAGUGGGCCUAAAAGCAGCCAUCUUCUAAAAAGCGUUAAAGCUUAACAUAUUAUUGUCUACAAUUCCACAAUUUUUACUUAACCCUUCAUCACUACUGAACUAUUUUAUACCCCUAUAAAAGUCAUUAUGCUAGAACUAGUAACAAGAAAUUGCCCUUCUCCAAAAUGUAUGUUUAAACCAAAAUGGACCCUCCACUGGUAGUUAACGUAAAUGUAAAAAUCAUAGUACCACACAACUAGAAAACCCUAUGACCUCCCCAACGUCAACCUUACACUAGAACAUUACAGGAAAGAUUAAAAGAGAAAGAAGGAACUCGGCAAACCACAGUCCCGCCUGUUUACCAAAAACACCGCCUCUUGCCCAAAUAUAAGAGGUCCAGCCUGCCCAGUGACAUAGUUUAACGGCCGCGGUACCCUAACCGUGCGAAGGUAGCAUAAUCACUUGUUCUUUAAAUAAGGACUCGUAUCAACGGCAUCACGAGGGCUGUACUGUCUCCUUUCUCCAAUCAGUGAAACUGAUCUCCCCGUGAAGAAGCGGGGAUUGACCUAUAAGACGAGAAGACCCCAUGGAGCUUUAAACCCAACACACACCCCUACGCACCCAAACCAAUACAGCCCAAGAGACUUGUGUGUUGGUUUUAGGUUGGGGGGACCGCGGAGUAAAAUCAAACCUCCAUGACAGACGGGCUAAUACCCUUAUCCAUGAACCACAAUUCUAAGAGCCAAUAAAUUGUUGUCUAAUGACCCAAUUACUUGAUCAACGAACCAAGUUACCCUGGGGAUAACAGCGCAAUCUACUUCAAGAGCUCCUAUCGACAAGUAGGUUUACGACCUCGAUGUUGGAUCAGGGUAUCCUAGUGGUGCAGCCGCUACUAAAGGUUCGUUUGUUCAACGAUUAAAACCCUACGUGAUCUG
rnacentral:rRNA from 1 species